AGUCGAGCGAACACACGAAAGAGCUUGCUCCUUCGACGUUAGCGGCGGACGGGUGAGUAACACGUGGGCAACCUACCCUAUAGUUUGGGAUAACUCCCGGAAACCUGGGCUAAUACCGAAUAACUUGUUUCACCUCAGGGUGAAACACUGAAAGACGGUUUCAGCUGUCUCUAUAAGAUGGGCCCGCGGCGCAUUAGCUAGUUGGUGAGGUAACGGCUCACCAAGGCGACUAUUCGUAGCCGACCUGAGAGGGUGAUCGGCCACACUGGGACUGAGACACGGCCCAGACUCCUACGGGAGGCAGCAUUAGGGAAUCUUCCACAAUGGGCGAAAGCCUGAUGGAGCAACGCCGCGUGAGUGAAGAAUGAUUUCGGUUCGUAAAACUCUGUUGUAAGGGAAGAACAAGUACAGUAGUAACUGGCUGUACCUUGACGGUACCUUAUUAGAAAGCCACGGCUAACUACCUGCCAGCAGCCGCGGUAAUACGUAGGUGGCAAGCGUUGUCCGGAAUUAUUGGGCGUAAAGCGCGCGCAAGUGGUUUCUUAAGUCUGAUGUGAAAGCCCACGGCUCAACCGUGGAGGGUCAUUGGAAACUGGUGAGACUUGAGUGCAGAAGAGGAUAGUGGAAUUCCAAGUGUAGCGGUGAAAUGCGUAGAGAUAUGGAGGAACACCACUGGCGAAUGCGACUAUCUGGUCUGUAACUGACACUGAGGCGCGAAAGCGUGGGGAGCAAACAGGAUUAGAUACCCUGGUAGUCCACGCCGUACACGAUGAGUGCUGAGUGUUAGGGGGUGUCCGCCCCUCAGUGCUGCAGCUAACGCACUAAGCACUCACGCCUGGCGGAGUACGGUCGCAAGACUGAAUACUCACAGGCACUUGACGGGGGCCCGCACAAGCGGUGUGAGCAUGUGGUUUUAUUUCGAAGCAUCGCCGCACCACCGUACCACGUCGUCGACAUCCCGAUGACCACUGUAGCAGAUAUAGAUUUCCCCGUCCGGGGCGACGGUGACAGUGGUGCAUGGCUGGUCGUCAGCUCGUGUCGUGAGAUGUUGGGUGAGUCCCGCCAUCGAG
rnacentral:rRNA from 10 species